CAGCAGCCACGGUAAUACGUAGGGUGCAAGCGUUAAUCGGAAUUACUGGGCGUAAAGCGUGCGCAGGCGGUUUUGUAAGACAGAGGUGAAAUCCCCGGGCUCAACCUGGGAACUGCCUUUGUGACUGCAAGGCUAGAGUACGGCAGAGGGGGAUGGAAUUCCGCGUGUAGCAGUGAAAUGCGUAGAUAUGCGGAGGAACACCGAUGGCGAAGGCAAUCCCCUGGGCCUGUACUGACGCUCAUGCACGAAAGCGUGGGGAGCAAACAGGAUUAGAGACCCGCGUAGUCCCUGUCUCUUAUAC
rnacentral:rRNA from 1 species